AACAGGAUUAGAUACCCUGGUAGUCCACGCCGUAAACGAUGAGUGCUAGGUGUUGGGGGUUUCCGCCCUCUGUGCCGAAGGUAACCCAAUAAGCACUCCGCCUGGGGAGUACGGCCGCAAGGCUGAAACUCAAAGGAAUUGACGGGGGCCCGCACAAGCGGUGGAGCAUGUGGUUUAAUUCGAAGCAACGCGAAGAACCUUACCAGGGCUUGACAUCCCGCUGACCGGUGUAGAGAUACACCUUCCCUUCGGGGCAGCGGUGACAGGUGGUGCAUGGUUGUCGUCAGCUCGUGUCGUGAGAUGUUGGGUUCAGUCCCGCAACGAGCGCAACCCUUGUCGUCAGUUGCCAGCACAUGAUGGUGGGUACUCUGGCGAGACAGCCGGUGAAAGCCGGAGGAAGGUGGGGAUGACGUCAAAUCAUCAUGCCCCUUAUGUCCUGGGCUACACACGUGCUACAAUGGCCGGUACAACGGGCAGCGAACCCGUGAGGGGGAGCCAAUCCCAAAAAACCGGUCUCAGUUCGGAUCGCAGGCUGCAACUCGCCUGCGUGAAGCUGGAAUCGCUAGUAAUCGCGGAUCAGCAUGCCGCGGUGAAUCCGUUCCCGGGCCUUGUACACACCGCCCGUCACACCACGAGAGUCUGCAACACCCGAAGUCGGUGAGGUAACCUUCGGGAAUCAGCCGCCGAAGGUGGGGCAGAUGAUUGGGGUGAAGUCGUAACAAGGUAACC
rnacentral:rRNA from 1 species